AUUUCCCUAAUAAUAUUAUUUGAUGAGGACAUAAGAACUAAUUAUCUUCGUCAUUUUUAGUGAGAUUGUUAUAAUUGCAAAAUCAAACUCCUAAACAAAAUAUUGUACUAAAAAGUAAAAGUCAUGUAUCGAAUUGUAAACAUAUAAAAAUAACAAGUGCAUCCAAUUGUGAAGACAUUUUUUAAUCCAAUAACAUUAUCAGGUUGAUUAAUUAUUGAGAUCCCCGUAAGGGCUGUUAUGGUCAAAAUGCAAGGUGUUGGGUUGGUGGCGUGGUGGUUGGUGGGCAAGUGCCCAUGAAGAGAAAGGAGUUGUUUUAAGCGUAUUGAAUUUGAAGACGCCAUUGAAAAGGCAAGAGUAGGGGAGUACAUUUUGUUUUUGGUCUGCAAUUGAGACGGGAACUGGAGGCCUGGAUCUGGGGGUCCAUGCAAUGAAAUAUGUCAAUCUAAUGUGGAGUCUUGUGAAGCAGCAAAUGGCAUCAUGCCAUCAUCAUCAAUUGGAUCAAUCUUCUAUCCCAUUUGGGAUUUGCUAGCUCUAUAUAUCCCACUUGGCAUUAGCUCUUAAACCUCAACAAGAAAUCUAAUCAAUCGAAGAUGGGGAUUUCAGAUUUGAUCAGAAGAAUCUGAAAAAUCUUUUAUACAUCAACAAGAAAUUUGCUCGCUAAAUUCCAUUAACUUUUGCGUGCAUUUUAUUAGUGUGAGAUCAUGGUUACCCUUGUAAAGAAUUAUUUUUGUCUGAUAUAAUUGCACUGCACCACGUGGGUCCACAUUGGACUCGAAGUUGAUGAUAAAAAGCACUUUUGUUUUCGGCCUUUUCUCCGAUGGGCUUGUCACGGUCGUUAGAUAAGACAAUCGCGCCGAGACGGAUUAGGUCGAGAGAUGCCUUCUUAGUCUUGUCCUCUCGUGGAAAUGGUUUCCAGCGAGUUAAACAGUAAAAUUCAUUUUUCACAUUAAGGAAUUCGCAAGGGUGACAUGAAAAAGAUUCCAUCUCGUAAAGAUGUCUAGAGUCGCGAUUACUUACGAUAAUAGAUUAAUUAAAGACCCAUUGUUAUAUAAUUUUAAGAUUUAAGGUCUAUCAAACAUAAUUCAAAUAUAUAUUACAGCAAUUAUUAGGAAGAUACUAAUUAUAUUUUACAUUGCAUGAAAGAAAUGAUAAAAGCUCCUGGCUAAAAGCUGCCCCAGCUCACCAGUACGUUAUAAGCUCUAUGCCUACCUAACACAAAAGUUAAGGAAUCAAAAGAUUACUAUAUUUCAUGAAAAAUAUAAUAAAGAUCAUAAGAUUUUUCUUAAGACAUAAACAAAUAAGAUUGCAUAAUCAUUUAAAAAGAAAAUUGAUAAAUAGAAUUUAGUUUGUUUCGUAAGGAUAAGUGGUUAAGAGUCUUGUCACAUUGUGGCAGACAGUGGGCUUGCCAAUUGCAAUUUGCGAAAUCGUGGUCAGGCUGUGGGACUGUGAAGCAUAAAACCUCAGUUGCAUGGCCACUCUCAAUAUUGGAUUCCACAUUUGACAUCUCCAUUUACUUUUUUGCCAUGCAAAUGAUAGAAACGGCGAAGAGCACUUUAGCCAAUUUUUGAGAAUGUAUUUUAAGAAUGUUUGCGUAAUUACAAUAAAAAUUUUUCGCAUAUGAUUGCAAAUAAUUGACUUUUUAUAAUAUUAAUAUUGUCAUUUUUAUUAUAGUAUCCAUGAAUCAGCGGGGAGUUAAGAGUUAUAUCAUUUGCGAUUCAAAUUUAUAAUUUUAUCAUUAUUCAAAAAGUAUUUAUUUAUCGAUAAAUUUAUACAAUGAUUAAAAAUUUUAUUAGUAGAAUUGAUUUU
rnacentral:lncRNA from 1 species